GAUGAACGCUGGCGGCGUGCCUAAUACAUGCAAGUCGAGCGAACAGAUAAGGAGCUUGCUCCUUUGACGUUAGCGGCGGACGGGUGAGUAACACGUGGAUAACCUACCUAUAAGACUGGGAUAACUUCGGGAAACCGGAGCUAAUACCGGAUAACAUAUUGAACCGCAUGGUUCAAUAGUGAAAGGCGGCUUUGCUGUCACUUAUAGAUGGAUCCGCGCCGUAUUAGCUAGUUGGUAAGGUAACGGCUUACCAAGGCAACGAUACGUAGCCGACCUGAGAGGGUGAUCGGCCACACUGGAACUGAGACACGGUCCAGACUCCUACGGGAGGCAGCAGUAGGGGAUCUUCCGCAAUGGGCGAAAGCCUGACGGAGCAACGCCGCGUGAGUGAUGAAGGUCUUCGGAUCGUAAAACUCUGUUAUCAGGGAAGAACAAAUGUGUAAGUAACUGUGCACAUCUUGACGGUACCUGAUCAGAAAGCCACGGCUAACUACGUG
rnacentral:rRNA from 1 species